GGAGGUCCGAACUAGUAAACGUUGAAAAGUUUUUGGAUGAACUGAGGGUAGGGGUGAAAGGCUAAUCAAACUGAGAAAUAGCUCGUACUCCCCGAAAUGUUUUUAGGAACAGUGUGGAGGUUAAGUUUGUCAGAGGUAGAGCUACCAAUUGGACUAGGGGGAGUCACAUCCUACCAAAUCCAGAUGAACUCCGAAUGGUUGUAAAUAUACCUUGCAAUGAGGGCAUGGGUGCUAAGGUCCGUGUCCGAGAGGGAAAGAACCCAGACCUGCAGCUAAGGUCCCAAAAUCUAUACUAAGUUGAACUAAGGCGGUUCAGUUGCUGAGACAGCCAGGAGGUUAGCUUGGAAGCAGCUAUUCCUUUAAAGAGUGCGUAACAGCUCACUGGUCGAGCGACAGGGCAUCGAUAAUGAUCGGGCAUAAAAUGUAGUACCGAAGCUUAGGAUUGUAGCAAUACAGUGGUAGGGGAGCAUUCCAACAGCGGAGAAGCUAAGAGAUAACUUUUGGUGGAGCGGUUGGAAAAGCAAAUGUAGGCAUAAGUAACGAUAAGGCAUGUGAGAAACAUGCCCACCGAUAGACUAAGGUUUCCGCGGCAAUGCUAAUCAUCCGCGGGUAAGUCGGGACCUAAGGAAAAGCCGAAAGGCGUAUUCGAUGGACAACUGGUUAAUAUUCCAGUACCACCGUAUUGAGCGAUGAGGUGAAGGAGGAGUGAUAACUGCGCGCCCUGACGGAAUAGGGCGUUGAAAGGUGUAGGUAUAGAUUGUGUAGGCAAAUCCGCACGAACUGCUGAAACCCAAUAGUACUUGGAGGCUUCGGCCGAAGAGAUAGACAGUGUAAACAGACUUCCGAGAAAACCCUCUAAGCAUAUUGAUAUGGUGCCCGUACCGCAAACCGACACAGGUAGUCAAGGAGAAUAUCCUGAGGUGCUCGAGUGAAUCACGGCCAAGGAACUCGGCAAAUUAACCCUGUAACUUCGGGAGAAGGGGUGCCUCCUCUAGCAAUAGAGAGGUCGCAGAGAAAUGGCCCAGGCGACUGUUUAACAAAAACACAUGGCUUUGCGAAAUCGCAAGAUGAAGUAUAAGGCCUGACACCUGCCCGGUGCUGGAAGGUUAAGGGGGGGAGUUAGUCGCAAGACGAAGCUCUGAACUGAAGCCCCAGUAAACGGCGGCCGUAACUAUAACGGUCCUAAGGUAGCGAAAUUCCUUGUCGGGUAAGUUCCGACCUGCACGAAUGGUGUAACGAUCUGGGCGCUGUCUCGGCCGUGAGCUCGGUGAAAUUGUAGUCACGGUGAAGAUGCCGUGUACCCGUCACGGGACGGAAAGACCCCAUGCACCUUUACUAUAGCUUCGCAUUGGCACUGGGGGGAUGAUGUGUAGGAUAGGCGGGAGGCAUUGAUCCGCGGCCGCUAGGUCGCGGGGAGUCAACGGUGAAAUACCGCCCUUUAUCCUCUUGGUGCCUAACCAUACAAAGUAUGGGACACUGCGUGGUGGGUAGUUUGACUGGGGUGGUCGCCUCCGAAAGUGUAUCGGAGGCUUUCAAAGGUAUGCUCAGUACGGUUGGUAAUCGUACGUGGAGUGCAAUAGCAUAAGCAUGCUUGACUGUGAGACCGACGGGUCGAGCAGGGACGAAAGUUGGAUAUAGUGAUCCGGUGGUUCUGUAUGGAAGGGCCAUCGCUCAAAGGAUAAAAGGUACGCUGGGGAUAACAGGCUGAUCUCCCCCAAGAGCUCAUAUCGACGGGGAGGUUUGGCACCUCGAUGUCGGCUCGUCACAUCCUGGGGCUGGAGAAGGUCCCAAGGGUUCGGCUGUUCGCCGAUUAAAGUGGCACGCGAGCUGGGUUCAGAACGUCGUGAGACAGUUCGGUCCCUAUCUGUGAUGGGCGUUGGAAGUUUGAGGGGAUCUGGCCUUAGUACGAGAGGACCGGGCUGGACCAACCUCUGGUGUACCGGUUGUAGCGCCAGCUGCACCGCCGGGUAGCCAAGUUGGGUAGGGAUAAGCGCUGAAAGCAUCUAAGCGCGAAACCCGCCCCGAGAUGAGACUUCCUUUAAGGGUCGUCAGAGACUAUGACGUUGAUAGGCCGCAGGUGUAAAGGCAGGAAUGCCAAAGCCGAGCGGUACUAAUUACCCGAACGCUUCAAGU
rnacentral:rRNA from 1 species